rnacentral:rRNA from 1 species
UGCUGGAGGUAUCAGAAGUGCGAAUGCUGACAUAAGUAACGAUAAAGCGGGUGAAAAGCCCGCUCGCCGUAAGCGCAAGGUUUCCUACGCAACGUUCAUCGGCGUAGGGUGAGUCGGCCCCUAAGGCGAGGCAGAGAUGCGUAGCUGAUGGGAAGCUGGUUAAUAUUCCAGCACCGUCGUACAGUGCGAUGGGGGGACGGAUCGCGGAAGAUCAUCAGGGUGUUGGAUGUCCCUGUUCC